rnacentral:rRNA from 1 species
GACGAACGCUGGCGGCGUGCCUAAUACAUGCAAGUUGAGCGCUGAAGGUUGGUACUUGUACCAACUGGAUGAGCAGCGAACGGGUGAGUAACGCGUGGGGAAUCUGCCUUUGAGCGGGGGACAACAUUUGGAAACGAAUGCUAAUACCGCAUAAAAACUUUAAACACAAGUUUUAAGUUUGAAAGAUGCAAUUGCAUCACUCAAAGAUGAUCCCGCGUUGUAUUAGCUAGUUGGUGAGGUAAAGGCUCUCCAAGGCGAUGAUACAUAGCCGACCUGAGAGGGUGAACGGCCAAAUUGGGACUGAGACCCGGCCCAAACUCCUACGGGAGGGAGCAGGAGGGAAUCUUCGGCAAAGGACGAAAGUCUGAACGAGCAACGCCGCGGGAGUGAAGAAGGGUUUCGGAUCGUAAAACUCUGUUGGUAGAGAAGAAAGUUGGUGAGAGUGGAAAGCUCAUCAAGUGACGGUAACUACCCAGAAAGGGACGGCUAACUACGUG